CUUUCACUGCUUAUCCAAAAGUUGGUAUUUUCUGAAAUUAUAACCGAUAUGUUUGAUGUUUGAUAAUGAUGGAGACUUAAAACAUGUUGCGGUUGCAUUUCUUGUGGUUUACGGUGCAACAGCUAUUACGAGGUAAUUUAUCUAAUAAUAUAAUGUAUGUUUGUAGUUUGUUUAACUAUUUAAAAAAUCUGAAAAGCGUUUGGGUAAGUUUAUGAGUUUUCUAAAGCAUUAAUGUCAAAGCUCCAUAUUAGGCGGUAUAUAGUGGAGAGAGCGGCGUGUUUAGAUCAGGAGGUUUUUGUACGGACAGUAAACGAGAUUGUAGCUCUGUGGUGGACUUUCGGUGGCGGAACAAAACUAUCAGUUGGACGUGACGCCCCGCCCACCCUCACGGUCCUGCCCCCCUCCAGUGUACAGCUGCAGCAGGAGAAGGUCACACUCGUGUGUCUGGCCAACAAGGGCUUCCCCUCAGACUGGAAGCUGAGCUGGAAGGUGGCUGGUAGCAGCUGGAGCUCGGGGGUGAGCCAGAGCUCCGGGCUUCUGCAGAAGGACGGCCUCUACAGCUGGAGCAGCACCCUGACCCUCCAGAAGGAGGAGUGGCUGAAGAAGACAGUGACCUGUGAGGCCACCAAGGACUCCCAGUCUCCUGUCACACAGACACUGAGUAGAGAGCAGUGUGCUGAGGCGUGA